CGGAAUCUGAAAAUAUUACUUGUGGCGUUUAUUGGUUUUGGAUCAGUCCUCGGCAUCAUUUUGUUGCUUUUCACAUUCGUGAUUUGCCAAAUAACUGAUGAACAAGAGGACUCAGGAAAACCUGGAGACGUGAAAAAGUUACCUGUUGGGGGUGAAGAUGUCUACCAAACAGUGGCCUACAUUCUUGUAGCUGACUCUGAAACUGGUCAUCCUGCUUUCACACCCCAGGACUAAAUGGUAUUGCUGCAGACUACCAUCGUCUUCCAGCCCAAUAUCUUUGCAAUUGAACAUGACUCUCCCAUGUGAUGCUGUUUCGUCUUCUGAGACACAACCAUUUGUGUUUUGCCAAUACAUUUUAAACCAAUUACCUGUUCGAGACAACCAU